rnacentral:rRNA from 1 species
UACGUACGAGGCGAGCGUUAUCCGGAAUUACUGGGCGUAAAGCGCACGUAGGCGGCUUUUUAAGUCAGGGGGUGAAAUCCCGGGGCUCAACCCCCGGAACUGCCCUUGAAACUGGAGAGCUAGAAUCUUGGAGAGGCGAGUGGAAUUCCGAGUGUAGAGGUGAAAUUCGUAGAUAUUCGGAAGAACACCAGUGGCGAAGGCGGCUCACUGGCCCGAUACUGACGCUGAGGCACGAAAGCGUGGGGAGCAAACAGG